rnacentral:rRNA from 1 species
CCGGUAGGGACUGCGGAGGACAUUA